GGGCCUAUGGCACAACUGGCUAGCGCGCCUCGUUUGCAACGAGGAGGUUGAGGGUUCGAAUCCCUCUAGGUCCA
rnacentral:tRNA from 1 species